GCUUCGUAGUCCAGCACACACUGAUUAAAUCCCAGAAGUUAAGUGGUAAUCUAGAUUCGUAGUACAGUAUAUCCCCUUGACGAGAGGAAAAAACAACAAAUGACAGUAAAAACACACCAAAUAACAACAAAAUGACCAAAAAAGCUUUAAUACCAUAGCAACCACAAAAAAAAUAUACAAAAUAACUGAAACUAAAACUAAACCGAACCCAUAAAACGUCUAUUUUUGUGGUAAAUUUUUGUGUUUUCUUCGGGAGCCUCUCAGAUUCAAACUAAGGACAUGUCUGUUGUCAGUGUUUGUUUCUCUCAGUCUGUGUCUCACUGACGACCCCCUCCGUCUGUGAGCCGGUUAGUUUCUUCCAGGUGAGGAACCGCCCACUGUGUGUUAGCAGAGCCUCGCUCAGUGUCACUCUGUUCGGCUGCUCACCAAGAAUUUACCGACUCUGUGAGGACCUUGGGCGCACACAGCAGAAGAAGAAGAACUUUCCAACCUGAGGAGAGAAACUGGACGUACGACUAUCAGGGCGUGUUGGAAUGAUCAUUGAGCUGUGUGUGAGCGUGUUCCUGCAGCAGUGAAGGAUGCUACCAGCUGGUCCCAGGACUCCCAC
rnacentral:lncRNA from 1 species